AUAUAUAAAAAUGAAUUUCCGUCUGUCUGUCUGUCUGUCUGUCUGUCUGUCUGUCUGUCUGUCUGUCUGUCUGUCUGUCUGUCUGUCUGUCUGACCGCUAUGCAUUCGGAAAUUACUGAACCGAUCGGUGUGAAAUUUUGUAUGUGGGUAUGUUUGAGGCCGGGGAAGGUUCUUAGCUUGGUGUGAGAACUCUCCGGUCUCGGAAACGGGUGGCUCCCAUACAGAUGACUUUCGCGGGGACGUGCCAAUGGAGCUGUACGUCAAAAAACACAGUAGGCACGCAGUACGACGUUUGCCGAGAAACGUCGUGCGUGACGUGUCGUGCCAGCAAAAGACUUCCGCCAAAAAACAAACAAACAAAACAGGCAAAACCCGCGUCACAAGACUCCGCACGUGUCGGGAGCCGUUGGGAGAAGGUUCGCCCAAUCCGCUGCACCUGGACGGUCAACGUCACGAUUUGCGGCCAACAUCGCUUUUCAGGAGCGUAUUCACCAAAUUCUCCAAGAGGCGGACCUGACAAGAGAGAUCGGGCACGAUCGGGUAUCCUUGCGAAAAGGCACUGAAUCUAAACCACCCGCGAAUAAGCUCCAGAUCGAACUACUCGGCGGUUGGUGUAUCGCACCAAACAAGCCCCUUCACAGGGUAAAGAAAUAAUCCACAGUUAGGAUGAACAACACUUAACCUAAACACCCCACAGGGCUGAAAACAAACUGCGGCAAUUCAUCGCACACACGGCGUUAGACAUCAAGUCACGCACGGAACCCACGGUGCGAGCGAAUCGGCACAACCAGGCGCUUAGGCAUAGGCGAAUCACUUCAUCCGCAGAGCCAUCGGGAGUUCUCCAGACGCAGGUCACGAGACGAUAUCGAGAGUGGCAGCUACGAGAGUUAACGGCCUCGGCGAUUCGAGGGAACAUAUACCCACCGUUCGAUGAGGACGAUGGCGGAGUGUAAGCUGCCCGGCAUAUCGCUUGGAGACCACCAUUGGUGAGGCACAAUGGCACACGGUUGCUGAGGCAGUCACAAGGUCGGUGAGCUACGAAUACCUUAAGUUAAGCUAUACGAACUAGAGUUAAGAAAAAGUAGGGGAAGGUAGGAUCUUUGAAAAUAAGAGAAAUAAAAAAAAUGUAAUGACAAAUUAAGUUUGGGCUGCAGUUCGUUGAUUCUGUCAUUCUUGCAUCCCUGAUUGCAAUUAACAUUUCAAAAGUGAUUGGUCUCGGAACCACCACAAUCGAUAGGUUUUACGACAUACAUCUGCUUGAAAGGGACUUUAAAACCAUUUUUUUGGCACCGGCUACACAAGAGUAUGGCGAAGUUACUGGCGAGGCGAUCAUAAUGUACAUCAUUUCCAAUGGUGAUUACGAGCCGCAAGAAGUCCGGACUGAUUGCGUUAGCUCAUACGUCUCUAUGAGUAUGACGUAUGACAUGCCGACAUGCGUGUUGCUCGAUUAGGCAAGGUUCUUAAGAAGGUUUGUGACCUCUUCCUCUCCGAAACCGAUUACAAACGAAAUGGAAUAUUCUACAUAAUUUGAGAACUAUAGAGCUACUAAUUUCGGCACUGCUGUCUCGGGGAAUUAAAACGAAAGUUUUAAAUUUUUCAAACCAACCGUUACCUCCACCAGAAGUGUAGUGCAAAGAAAUCAAUUGCUUCAUUAAGUGAAAUUAAGAGAAAAAAAAACAGCUACGACAAUCUUAUGUCAACCCAAACGAAAAACGAAUAGUCAAAAUUAUUACUAACACGAGUCGAAACGUUGAGAAAAAUCUAAUACUGUUGUUCUAAUUCCCCAGGACUGCAGUGCCGAAAUUAGUAGCUCUAUAGAUCACAACAGUCGGACUCUCUUUAUCCGUCACUUGAGAACUAAUCAAGCAAGUGGAACCAAAUUUUGCAUGUGGAACUUUUUGAAGACAAGACAUUUUUGUUGCGGUGCGAGACCCCUUCAUCAAAUAUUGCUUCGUUAUUUAAUAAAAAAUCAGAAACCGAAAAAAUGAGAAAAUGCUUCCAGUUUCGCCUUAAACCAAAAUGCCACCAGGCAGAAUGAUCAUCAUUCCCGAAUUGACACACAGAUUGUAUUUCCUGAUACUUAUGCUACUCACUCCAUCUAGGAUUUUUCCUUCUUUU